ACGCACGCUGGCGGCGUGCUUAACCCAUGCCGGUCGCACGGAAAGGCCCUGCUUGCAGGGUACUCGAGUGGCGAACGGGUGAGUAACACGUGGGUGAUCUGCCCUGCACUUCGGGAUAAGCCUGGGAAACUGGGUCUAAUACCGGAUAGGAGCCAUUUUUAGUGUGAUGGUUGGAAAGUUUUUUCGGUGUAGGAUGAGCUCGCGGCCUAUCAGCUUGUUGGUGGGGUAAUGGCCUACCAAGGCGGCGACGGGUAGCCGGCCUGAGAGGGUGGACGGCCACAUUGGGACUGAGAUACGGCCCAGACUCCUACGGGAGGCAGCAGUGGGGAAUAUUGCACAAUGGGCGCAAGCCUGAUGCAGCGACGCCGCGUGGGGGAUGACGGCCUUCGGGUUGUAAACUCCUUUCGCUAGGGACGAAGCUUUUUGUGACGGUACCUAGAUAAGAAGCACCGGCUAACUACGUG
rnacentral:rRNA from 1 species